AAAGAACUGUCAACCAACGACAAAGAAAUUGUUUACUUGAUGCGUCAAGAGACAUGAGUCCUCGCCUUCCCAAAUCCUAUAUUUCAACCAACGAAAGCUUUUUCUUUCUAAAUUCUAUAUUCCGCCUCAUUUCUCCUUUCUCUCCGGAGAGAUAAUUUCGAAACGUUUUUAAUUAUUGUGUUCAAUCUUUGUUUGGUCGGCAUCUAAUCUCCGAUAACGAUCAUAUACUUAGUUUUUCAGAGAUCAGGAUGGCGAGGAGUAGAUCGUCUUCAUCGUCGAGCAAAUGGAGGUAUUGUAAUCCUUCGUAUUACCUGAAGAGACCGAAACGCUUGGCUUUGCUUUUCAUAGCCUUUGUUUGUGCCACUUUGCUCGUGUGGGAUCGCCAAACUCUCGUCAGAGAACACGAGGUGGAGAUUUCCAAGUUGAAUGAAGAAGUGAAUCAAUUAAAAACAACGCUAGAAGAAUUAAAGAAUAUUCAUGGAGAUUCAAUUAAAUUGAUUACUAGUAAAUCUAGCAAGCCUUCCCAAAAGGCUAUUCUUGAUGAUCCUAUUGCCAUUCAGCGAAGGGAGAAAGUAAAAGAAGCUAUGAUUCAUGCAUGGAGUUCAUAUGAAAAGUAUGCAUGGGGCCAUGACGAACUUCAACCACAGACGAAGAAUGGUGUUGAUAGCUUUGGUGGUCUUGGGGCAACUCUAAUUGACUCUCUUGACACAUUAUUUAUAAUGGGUUUGGAUGAGCAGUUUCGAAGAGCUAGAGAGUGGGUUGCAAA
rnacentral:misc_RNA from 1 species